UACAGAGGUCCCAAGCGUUGUUCGGAUUCACUGGGCGUAAAGGGUGCGUAGGCGGUCGGGCAAGUCUGACGUGAAAUCUUCAAGCUUAACUUGGAAACUGCGUCGGAUACUAUUCGGCUGGAGGAAUGGAGGGGAGACUGGAAUACUUGGUGUAGCAGUGAAAUGCGUAGAUAUCAAGUGGAACACCAGUGGCGAAGGCGAGUCUCUGGACAUUUCCUGACGCUGAGGCACGAAAGCCAGGGGAGCAAACGGG
rnacentral:rRNA from 1 species